UAAUGUAAAACAUAACUAGGUCAUUUUAAUAAUGUAAAACAUAACUAGGUGAUUUGUGAUAAUAUAAAACAUAACUAGGUGAUUUGUGAUAGUGUAAAACAUAAAUGGGUGAUUUUUUAAUAAUGUAAACCAUAACUAGGUGAUUUGUGAUAAUGUAAAACAUAACUAGGUGAUUUGUGAUAAUGUAAAACAUAACUAGGUGAUUUGUGAUAGUGUAAAACAUAAUUAGGUGAUUUGUGAGUGUACACAACAUUGCGGUAAUAUUUCAUGCAGGGUUCUGUUUGAUUAUUUUUAUUAUUGUGUGUAUACGUCUAGAAUGUGUAAAUUGUGUGUCUGUGUGUGUGUGAGUGUGUGUACAUUAUGAUGUAUUGUAAUAACAUCUAAGUUGUAGAAAUUUUGUUUGAAAAAAUCUAAGUCUGUUCUGUUUACGUCCCUUGAUCGACAUAUGCCCCCCCCCCUCCUUUUCGCUACCAAAUAUCUGGUCACCUUAAGAUAAACUAUUUCACAAGGUUAUCAAAUAGAGUGAUCGUAUUAUCGUCUCAUCUCUGCCUGUGGUUUCGAAUGGGACAUAGGUCACCAACCAACCGUCUCUAAUCUCUUAGUUUGUGAUGCGGUCUUUGAAUGUGAUACCUAGGAUCCUUCUGUAGCAUCUGGAUUCCAUGGCUUGGAUCCUCCUCUCUAGCUCUGCAGUCUUUGACGGCUGUAACUUUAUCGAUGACCACAGUUUAUUAUUGAAUAUUGGCUCGACUUUAAUAUUGAAAGCAGUGUACAUUCGUUCGAUGAAUUAAGUGUCAGAACAAGAGAAAAUCUCAAAUUCCCUUUGUAUUAGACUUUCCAAAGCACAAAAGCGAGUGUUCCAUGUAAUCAAGAUAGUGUAAAAUAAAUAAUAAUCUGAUUCUAUAUUUGUUCAACAAGUGCGUGAAGAAGCCAUGUUAUGUACGUAACUCAUACACAACUUGUCCACGCCUUUCUUGACCCAGACCGAGUCAAUAUUUGAAUGCGUUUGUGGAACAUGGGGAAAUAACUCGCUUUUUUAAAAAUUCCUCUUCGUUAUAUGUAUCUAUACAUUCCCUUUAUCAAAUUCUUUCAAUUCUACUUUGUGUUGUUUUUUUUUUUUUUUCUAUAUUAUUUUCAAUGAAUUCUAUGAUAAUGUUUGUUUCACUUGUUGAUAUAAUGUGUGUACGAUCUUAGAUGAAAUGUCAAUAUUUAUUUUGAAACACAUUUGUCGAAAGAAGGGAGCAACUAUUGUGUUGUUGUUUUUUAAUGCUGUUUUCACCCUGCAGACACCAAAAUUAAGCAAGUUUCUUUGAGUGAGAGAGAAAAGAUGUAAUCGAAUCACAGAUAUCGGAAUAGAUAAAUGUAUCGAUAUCGGC
rnacentral:sRNA from 1 species